UACCAGCACCCCGAGUGGUCGGGACGAUUAUUGGGCCUAAAGCAUCCGUAGCCGGUUCUACAAGUCUUCCGUUAAAUCCACCUGCUCAACAGUUGGGCUGCGGAGGAUACUAUAGAGCUAGGAGGCGGGAGAGGCAAGCGGUACUUAGUGGGUAGGGGUAAAAUCCGUUGAUCCAUUGAAGACCACCAGUGGCGAAGGCGGCUUGCCAGAACGCACUCGACGGUGAGGGAUGAAAGCUGGGGAGCAAC
rnacentral:rRNA from 1 species